rnacentral:rRNA from 1 species
GAUUGAACGCUGGCGGCAUGCCUUACACAUGCAAGUCGAACGGCAGCGCGGACUUCGGUCUGGCGGCGAGUGGCGAACGGGUGAGUAAUACAUCGGAACGUACCCUGUUGUGGGGGAUAACUAGUCGAAAGAUUAGCUAAUACCGCAUACGACCUGAGGGUGAAAGUGGGGGACCGCAAGGCCUCACGCAGCAGGAGCGGCCGAUGUCUGAUUAGCUAGUUGGUGGGGUAAAGGCCCACCAAGGCGACGAUCAGUAGCUAGUCUGAGAGGACGAUCAGCCACACUGGGACUGAGACACGGCCCAGACUCCUACGGGAGGCAGCAGUGGGGAAUUUUGGACAAUGGGGGCAACCCUGAUCCAGCAAUGCCGCGUGUGUGAAGAAGGCCUUCGGGUUGUAAAGCACUUUUGUCCGGAAAGAAAUCGCGCUGGUUAAUACCUGGCGUGGAUGACGGUACCGGAAGAAUAAGCACCGGCUAACUACGUG